ensembl:lncRNA
CUGUCGUUGGCUUUUGGUUUUGGUUUUUCCUAUUGUUUAACAGACUCCUUCCUGGCGAGCCCCUAGGAAGCGGCUGUCAUGGCGGCUCUCUGUUGUCCGGAGGAUUCAGGGAAGGUCCCAGGGCAAAAGGUUUCCCUGGGCUGGCUGUCCCCACUCCUGGGAGGGAAGCCGGGUACGUCGGUCCUGCUGAGACUGUGGCCCCCUAGUACAACCUCUGGAUGCUCUGCCAGUUUGGUUUCAAUCCGCUUGGCAGGCAGUUCUGAGAACUUACAUUAAACUUAGACCCCGCAACCUUGAACCAAGAUGCUGGGGGCCAGGACUUGUUGACCAGUUGCCCAUAAACUGUGCUUUCAGGAAUAAGGGAGGAGGGGCCAGGAUUCUAGAGUACAAGGCUCUUAGGACCACGUGUUCUUUGUUUAAAGAGCAAACCCCACUCUUCCUUAGGUCCUGGAAUCUCCUGGAUGCAGAUGGUUCCAAGCUCUGGAACGGUUUCUCCCACCUCCAUUUCGCAGGAAAAUUAAACCCCAUUGCCAAGGGCUCUGUUGGCGACGUCGAAUAAACUCACUCUGCAGGCUUCAUUUUCCCCUGGGAAAUUCAGAUCCACACCUGCCUCCCUCGGUCUUUAGGCCUGGGAGUACCUCCAGCUAUGUGAGCGUGUUCGCCUGCCUGCUUGCUCCCAGGGCAGCGUGAGGCCCCGGCGUCCACUCAUCCCCAGGCUGGCUAUCAGUUAGCCUGGAGUCAGAUUUGGGUCUUUGGUAUCUCUGUAGUAAAACUUCAAGGACGACUAAGAAAGCCAAAGGUCAGGGACUCGGCUGCACUUCCUUUGCAGCCCAGAGGGUGAGCUAGACUGGAGCGCAGAAAAGCACUGUUGAGGAGAAUGUAUUACAUGGCUUUGCUCCUUCGGUCCUCAUAAGAAAUACAUAAGGCGGGAGCUGUCACUGAGUCCACUUCACAGAGGGAACCGAACUUGCAGAGGUUAGGGAAGUUUCCCAAAGUAACAGAGAUGGCAACUGGGACGAGUGGGGUCCACAGUAAGGGCCGUCUCCAGGUCUGUGAAGUAAAGCACACCCGUUUUGCAAGACAUGGCUGGGAAGGCAGGGCACCGACGCUUCCCAGGGCUCGCUGCACGUUAGGGCAACAGCUGUGGAACGCCUAGAAGACAGUGGAUGGUUUGGGCCACCAGGGGGCGCGCUAGACCAGCGAAUUGACACAACGUUUGCGGUCCGCUGAGACCCCCACAGCGCUCUGGGAGGUUAGUAAAGCUCAGGAGCUGCCUUUUAAGAUGGAUCGAGGGUUGAACAAAGAUGGAGGUGAGCUUGGUUCGAUGUGACCGCCGGGAGCUAGAGGCAGGGCAUCAUAUGCAGGGAGCUCUGAGAUCCGUGCGUUCCAUCCUGGCCGGCCAGCCUGUGGCUCCUCCUCCUCACCCCCGCCGCCCGCCAUCCUGGGGAGUUUUCGGAGCCUGCGGAGCGGGCGUCCUGCCGAAACCUGAGACGGGAGCCCUGGUUCUGCCUCGCCCUCCACCCGCGAAGGGGGCAACCGUACAAAGGGGAAAUGCCGCGGGGCUCUGAUUUGCGCCGAGCUGCUCCAGGCCGGCGCUGACCACUGCCUCCAGGAUCCAGCUUUCUCAAGGCUCAGCCUCUUCAGGGUAAUUCAAGGAAGACUGGAGAGGGGGGACAAGAUGGAAAGGUGCCCACUUUUGUUGCCUUUUUUCUGAGUCCACUGGCGAGACAGCAGAUCAGAGAAGUAACUGCUCAACAGAAACCCCAGCGCCCAGCGAGACAGGGAGCCACGUGCGGAGCUGUUGACUUCAGCAUGGCCACGGAGCUGUGAUACGAUUGGGACUUGUCACGGCAGGGCGUGGGAGUGAGCCUGUGACUAACGCCCGGCGGUGUGACGCCGCGCUGGGGCUCUGCGAACCGCAGUCCGGCUGGCUAGCUGCUCCUUGUUGGGCUCCGCCAAGAUGGGGCGCCAGAGCAGGACCAGCCCUCUCCCGCCGGAGGACCGCCUUCCGGUCAGCAUCUCCCCCGAUCGCCUCUUCACUGGGGACUUCCCCUGGCCGGGCCUUGUCUGGCGGCCGGCCCUGAACCUGAUCUGCCGUUUCUGGCUCCGGAGCCAGCCCCCUGCGAGCCUCCAGCGCGAGCCGCAGCCCGGCUCCUGGCUGGGGUCCGGGCCUGUGUGGCUCCCCCUCCUGUGUCCCAGGGCUGAUCAGCGCAGCCUCUUCUUGUUGCGCCCGCAACCCAAGAUGGGCGCAGCUGCUUCUGCUGUCGCUGCCCUGAUGGGACCUGAGGGUUCCCUGUCUGUCCUUCCAGGUCUUCAGUAGCAGUCACAGCUCCUUCUGUUCAACUCUGCAUUGCAGUAACCACAAUCGUUUCUUUCUCUGAUUGAUACACCUUCUACUCCGAAGCCUGACAGGCCAUCAAAACUGCAGAUAAUUUGGGCUUCAGGCGUAAACGGGAGGAAAUGUAAAAAGGGCUAGGCCUGGACUGGACGUGGGGUCGCAGGGGUCUGUGGAGCUGGCAUUCAUCACAGAGUAAGGGAAGAAGGGCAAAAACCUGGAGGCCCAGAGGCAGCCUUCGGCAGGUCAGGCCUGGCCCACCAAGAGCGACAUCACCUCCUUCCUCGGGCCAGGCGGAGGGUGCCAAUUCUCACAGCCAUAGCCUUCCCUUUGUGGGCCUUUUUCUUCCUCAGUAUUAACCCGUUCUCUUCCCCUAGUAGAGGCUCCUUGGGAAAUUCUCUAUGGGUCACAUUCCCACUAAACAUAAAUGACUGAUAGAACUUCAAUACAUCAUGGAGAAAUUUGCAUGGUCAGAACUACCACCAUGGCUAAAAUCCCAAACACUGACCACACCAAGUGCAGACAAGGAUGUGGAGCAACAGGAAUUCUCACUUAUUGCUGGUGGAAAUGCAAAGUGAUACAGAUGCCUUGGAAGGGAGUUUGCUGGUUUCUUACAAAACUAAACAUACUCUUCCCACGUGACCCAGCAGUGGUGCUCCUUGGCAUUUACCCAAAUGAUUUGAAAACUUAUGUCCACACGAAAACCCUCCCCCAAGUGUUUAUAGCAGCUUUGUUCAUAAUUGCCAAAGUUUAGAAGUCACCAAGACAUCCUUCAAACACUGAAUGGAUGAAUAGACUGUGGUGCAUUUAUACAAGGGAAUAUUAUUCAGUGGUCAAAAGAAAUGAGCUCUCAAGCCACAAAAAGACAUGGAGGGAACUUUAAAUGCACAAUACUAAGUGAAAGGAGCCAAAAAAGGCUGCAUACUGCCUGAUUCCAACCACGUGACAUUCUGAUAAAGGCCAAACUGUGGCGACCAUAAAAGGAUGGGCGGGUGCCAG